GUGCUCGCUUCAGCAGCGCAUGUACCACAGUCGGAACGAAACGCAGAAGAUUGGCGUGGCCCCUGAGCAAGGAUGACAGGCAAAUUCAUGAGGCGUUCCAGAUCUUU